rnacentral:tRNA from 1 species
UAAAAUAUACAUGUAUAAUUCUUAUACUAUUACUU